GAUGAACGCUGGCGGCGUGCCUAAUACAUGCAAGUCGAGCGAACAGACGAGGAGCUUGCUCCUCUGACGUUAGCGGCGGACGGGUGAGUAACACGUGGAUAACCUACCUAUAAGACUGGGAUAACUUCGGGAAACCGGAGCUAAUACCGGAUAAUAUAUUGAACCGCAUGGUUCAAUAGUGAAAGACGGUUUUGCUGUCACUUAUAGAUGGAUCCGCGCCGCAUUAGCUAGUUGGUAAGGUAACGGCUUACCAAGGCGACGAUGCGUAGCCGACCUGAGAAGGUGAUCGGCCACACUGGAACUGAGACACGGUCCAGACUCCUACGGGAGGCAGCAGUAGGGAAUCUUCCGCAAUGGGCGAAAGCCUGACGGAGCAACGCCGCGUGAGUGAUGAAGGUCUUCGGAUCGUAAAAUUCUGUUAUUAGGGAAGAACAAAUGUGUAAGUAACUAUGCACGUCUUGACGGUACCUAAUCAGAAAGCCACGGCUAACUACGUG
rnacentral:rRNA from 1 species